AAAAGGGGGGGAAAGAAAGAAAGAGAAAAAGGAGGGCGAGUGGCGAGCAGGGGCCUCGGCCGCCACCCACACGCCCCGAAGCGUGCUCGUCCCCCGCGCGGGGCUCCCGGCCGCCGCCCUCGGCCAUCGGCUGCUCCCCGGUGGCCCAGGCCUCGGACUCCGCGGCCGGCCCGGCGCGGCCCAGCGCCCUCAGGUGUAUACCAAGGACUGGAAUUGAUGGGCCAAGCUUUGUGUUUUAAGGAAAAAAAAAUCAUGUUUUAGUUUCGUGCUGGUAAUUUGAAGUAAGCAGAUGUCUAGAUAUAAGCUUGGAAACUGGCCAGUUGGAGAUUGCUCACGGCUGCAAUUGAAGACUCCAGCAGCCUCUUCUCCUCUUUGCUUCCAUUUGGAGAGGAAGGCGUCAUAGGCUGUGUGACUUCCGUGGACGCGGGGCUUGGCACCGGCUUGCAGUUGGGAUCAAUCUUCAGUGGCGGUUUGGAGUGGGUCA
rnacentral:lncRNA from 10 species